rnacentral:rRNA from 1 species
CAAAUGAAUUGACGGGGGCCCGCACAAGCGGUGGAGCAUGUGGUUUAAUUCGAUGAUACGCGAGGAACCUUACCUGGGCUCAAAUGUAUGUUGACGUAUUCUGAAAGGGAUACUUCUUCGGACAAUAUACAAGGUGCUGCAUGGUUGUCGUCAGCUCGUGCCGUGAGGUGUCGGGUUAAGUCCCAUAACGAGCGCAACCCCUAUCAUUAGUUGCCAUCAGGUCAAGCUGGGGACUCUAAUGAAACUGCCUACGCAAGUAGUGAGGAAGGUGGGGAUGACGUCAAAUCAGCACGGCCCUUACGUCCAGGGCUACACACGUGCUACAAUGGCCGGUACAAAGGGCAGCUACCUGGUGACAGGAUGCUAAUCUCAAAAGCCGGUCCCAGUACGGAUUGGAGUCUGCAACCCGACUCCAUGAAGUUGGAAUCGCUAGUAAUCGCGCAUCAGCAUGGCGCGGUGAAUACGUUCCCGGGCCUU